rnacentral:rRNA from 1 species
GGCCGGGCGGGUGCUACCAUGCAAGUCGAACGAUGAAGCCCAGCUUGCUGGGUGGAUUAGUGGCGAACGGGUGAGUAACACGUGAGUAACCUGCCCUUAACUCUGGGAUAAGCCUGGGAAACUGGGUCUAAUACCGGAUAGGAGCGCCUACCGCAUGGUGGGUGUUGGAAAGAUUUAUCGGUUUUGGAUGGACUCGCGGCCUAUCAGCUUGUUGGUGAGGUAAUGGCUCACCAAGGCGACGACGGGUAGCCGGCCUGAGAGGGUGACCGGCCACACUGGGACUGAGACACGGCCCAGACUCCUACGGGAGGCAGCAGUGGGGAAUAUUGCACAAUGGGCGAAAGCCUGAUGCAGCGACGCCGCGUGAGGGAUGACGGCCUUCGGGUUGUAAACCUCUUUCAGUAGGGAAGAAGCGAAAGUGACGGUACCUGCAGAAGAAGCACCGGCUAACUACGUGCCAGCAGCCGCGGUAAUACGUAGGGUGCGAGCGUUAUCCGGAAUUAUUGGGCGUAAAGAGCUCGUAGGCGGUUUGUCGCGUCUGUCGUGAAAGUCCGGGGCUUAACCCCGGAUCUGCGGUGGGUACGGGCAGACUAGAGUGCAGUAGGGGAGACUGGAAUUCCUGGUGUAGCGGUGGAAUGCGCAGAUAUCAGGAGGAACACCGAUGGCGAAGGCAGGUCUCUGGGCUGUAACUGACGCUGAGGAGCGAAAGCAUGGGGAGCGAACAGGAUUAGAUACCCUGGUAGUCCAUGCCGUAAACGUUGGGCACUAGGUGUGGGGACCAUUCCACGGUUUCCGCGCCGCAGCUAACGCAUUAAGUGCCCCGCCUGGGGAGUACGGCCGCAAGGCUAAAACUCAAAGGAAUUGACGGGGGCCCGCACAAGCGGCGGAGCAUGCGGAUUAAUUCGAUGCAACGCGAGACCUUACCAGGCUUGACAUGUUCCCGAUCGCCGUAGAGAUACGUUUCCCCUUUGGGGGCGGGUUCACAGGUGGUGCAUGGUUUGUCGUCAGCUCGUGUCGUGAGAA